rnacentral:lncRNA from 1 species
AACAGAGCAGCAGCACGCAGACGAGAGACAACAGGUGUCGCCAUGGCCUCCCAGCUCUCCGCCGCCGCGUCCAUGUCCGCCGCCGUGCCGCGGUUCCACGGCUACGCCUCGCUCCGGUCCGUGGCGGCGCUGCCGCCGGUGAGGGCCGGCGGCCGGAAGCGGGCGCAGGGCAUCCGGUGCGACUACAUCGGCUCGGCCACCAACCAGGUACUGUACCAAGCAACCGACCCAGAGCCUUCGCUUUCAUUUAUAACUACAGAUAAAAUUUCGUUGGUAACAAUGGGGCAUGGUGGCAGAUCAUGGUGCUGUCGACGACACUGAUGCUGUUCGCGGGGCGGUUCGGGCUGGCGCCGUCGGCGAACCGGAAGGCGACGGCGGGGCUGAAGCUGGAGUCCCGCGACUCCGGGCUGCAGACCGGCGACCCCGCCGGGUUCACGCUCGCCGACACGCUGGCCUGCGGCGCCGUCGGCCACAUCAUCGGCGUCGGCAUCGUGCUCGGGCUCAAGAACACCGGCGCGCUCGACCAGAUCAUCGGCUGAAGUGUUUGUUUGGCUGCCUAUCGCUCGCGCCGCCGCCUAUGUAACCUGCGUGCGUGUGCAUUCGUUGUGCGCGCAUGCAUCGUCUCGUCCCAAUGAACAUAGCUUGCUGCUGCUUUUGGCCCCAGAGCCUAUCAGCUUCAGUAACCCACGUCGUUCGUACUUCUUUUUUUCAUGGAACAAAUCUUCAGAAACUUCAAAGAGAGUUCAAAUUCCUACGUAUUUUUUUAAGACUUAAAGUUCCUACAUAAUUCGGGAAGAAUAAGCACGUUCCAAACAGAGCCGUCUCUCUGUUUCCACCAAAAAGGGAUCAUCACUGGGAAGAAAAAGGAAACCAAAGAGUGUCGAAAAGACGCUGAAGAACCAAAAGAACAAAUAAUGCAAAAAAAAAUCAAGAAAAUCCGAAAGGAGCAACGAUAGGAGUCAGAAUUGGAAUGACAGUCACCAUAACAAUCCGCCAUCGACACGGAUAGUAUGACUGGGCGUCAGUGCGAUUGUCAUCAUCCCCCUCUCUUCACUCCCAAAAAUAUCUCUACAUAUCUUUUUUGAAAGACUUAAAAGUACCUACAUAAUUCGGGGAAAAUACACAAGUUCCAAUUUUCCAAACAGAGCCUUCCUCUGUUGAUCCCCUAGUUUCCGCCGGAAAAUUUUGCUAGAACAACCUUUUUUUUUGCGAGUUAAUUAGAACAACUUAACAGCCACCAAACAGGGAUCAAAGAAUCCAAUGGGUGUAGAAAAGAUGCAGACCAACCAAAACAUGUAACAAACACUGCUAAUUUUUUUCCAAUGAAAAUCAGAAAGGAGCAGACGAGGAGUCAGAGUUGGAUUGACAGUCACCACAACAAUCCGCCAUCGGCACGGACAGUAUGACUGGGCGUCAGUGCGAUUGUCAUCACCCUCCUCUCUUCACUCCCAAAAAUAUCUCAACCUUGUCAAAAAAAAUUCUUUUUAAAGCAUCUCAACAUCAACAACAAUCACUAGCAAGACAAACAAUAAUAGCCACGAAACCAAACCCCAGGCGAUCGACCAGCACGAUUGCGCUGAGCACAAAAGGAAUGGCGGCGUCAUUUUUGCGAGCUCUCAGGAUGAACUUGCUCAUGAACAACAGCUGGUCGAUGAAGAACAACGAACGGAGAUGGGGGGAAAAGAAAUUCAUGUCCAGGGCAUGGCGUCACAGGGAGCAAUCAGAUCUGGACACUGUCAAUCAGCACUAGUACAUGCGUCAUAUGGUCAUGAUAGAUCAUCAUCGCCAUCAUUUGGGGAAAAAAACAAAAAACAAAAAAAAGAGGGCACAAGAUUGAACCAACGAAAUCGAACACAUGAGAGGUAGAGGGGAAAAAAUCACGGAGGAACUACUCGUCGUGCAGAGAAGAACACUGAAACUGAACGGAAAAAAGCACAAGCUUGCGUUCCCCUUGCACUGAAGUUCUCGAUGAAGGAAUGAAAGGAUGAACCCUCCAAUGUAUGAGCAUCGGGCAAAGCUUUUCCGGUGGGUCCGUUUCGCACGUUCUGGUAGCUGGAGUGGUUUGGCAGUCACCGUCUUUACUGGCAGGCUGUGGUCGUGCUCUCUCGAACCCUGAAAAGCUGGCAGCCCUUCGCCGCUGACGCGUGUCCGCGAGAAGCGUCCAAGCGACGCAUGCUCAUUCGUGCUAGAGAAAAUAAUUCCCUAUUCUUUUUUGUUUUAGAAAAAAAAAGGUAAAAUGAAAAGAGCCUGGAGUGUGUUUUGUAGGCAGCACUUCAGAAAAAAAAAUCGACCCACUUUGCUGUAACGGAAUGGCUAAACAACAAAAAAAAGUAUUUUCGGUAGGCAUCUCACAGGCAAGAACUCAGAUGCGCCGUUUCAGAACUCAACUAGGUCCAAUGAGCACCUUACCUGAUAUACCAAUGGUACAUGAUGAUUGCUAGCCAAGGGGUCAAAACAAACAUUUGAGGGCAUAACUGUGAUGGAAAAUUCGUGCCCAAGGGCUCAGAUGCAAGUAUCAGCAGAUGAUUGCAGUCCUAGGAAGCAUCUGAGCGUGAGAUCGUGAACAAAAUUGGGUCCAAAGUGCCAGAGCUCGCUUGAGGAUGGAAUCGUGAAGAGAAACUAGAGCGGGAGGGCCAAAAAGAGUCCCGAGGGCAUAUCUGCAAGAGAAGCAGCAAGCGCCAGGGACCAGCGCGCAAAAUCUCAAAAAAAUUUGGACCAUUUCUCGAUUUGUGCGUGUCAUCCUUGCGCAGGGGCCAUGCUAAUCUUCUCUGUAUCGUUCCAAUUUUAUCGGAUGUCUCCGAAGAGACAACCCGGUGCUAGCGCCUCGGUUUAUAAGCUGUGCUUUCGCUUCGUGAGCAGCCGAGGUGGGACUAAUUCUUCGGCUUGUUGCCCCGCGUCGUUGAGCCCGCCAGUUCUCCCAUCCCCACCGAUAGACAUGGGCUGCGCGGUACUUCGUAUUGGGCCAUGGCCCGUACUUCUCCGUGGCUUUUUUCUUUUCUGCGAGGGAUUUUUUGCAACUACGCGACCAUGCUUUCCGAAGCGCAAAUAAAGUACGUGAAAUCUUUCUUUGAUGCACACAGACUGUAAGUAGAAAAACUUUAACAAUUUCAUUCAUGAAUGGGGAGUUCAGACACGAUAGAACAGACCAAUCACUACGUGAAUUCAAUCCGUGUCAGAGAUAUGGCAUGUUUUGCAUUCAGAUUCUUGUAGACCACGGGAUAUACUUUGGCUGGUGUAGAGUUUGUUGUAAUCAAGAUUUGCAUUGUUUGCUUAAGGCCCCGUUUGGAUCAUUGGAAUUGAAUUCCAUCAUAAUAAUCAUAAUUUAGACACAAAUUAAUUAAGCUAAUAUAAUUGUAUGUGGAAUAUAGUUGUAUAUUAUAGUUGGUGAUAUGGGAGAGAUACUUAUAUGCUGCACUUCUACUAUAGAGAAGCGAGUCUAAGAGCGUGCUAUAAGAAUUGAAUUCCAUUCUAAUAACCAUAAUCUAUAGAAUCAAUUUCCAUCUCCCACCCCAUGAAUUUAAGAUAGGCUUAUAUAUAAACUUUGGAAAGUUGUGGAAUGCCACAUUCCAACAUAAAUUAGCCUACUUCCAAUUCCUUCAUACCAAACGGGGCCUUAGAGAUUAGGUGUCUAUAUAUUGUAAAAUUUUUUGCGCAAUUGCGCAUCAAUUAUCAACACGCAACCGCCGUACCCGAGGAUCAGGGACGACCUUCUCCCACGCUCACGCGCCUCUGGAACUUUGCAAUCCGAAUCCGUGUUCCCCUCGCGCUCGCUAGCCGCUGUUUACGCGUUCUCUUUGCCCGAUCCCGAUCCGUGCCGGCUCAUACUAGUCUAUACAUUGCGCCAAGGAUCGGAGCUCCUCCUACAUACGUAAGCUAAGCUCGUCGCGACCUGCGAUGGCAAGAUGCAGGCACUACGGCAAUAACGUUUCGCCACCGUCACCGCCUUCCGUCAACGGAGGUGCUCCCUCACUGCUGCACUACGGCGGUGGCCAUGAUGAUGAUGACCUAAUCGACGGCGGCGGCAGCAGCGAUCGGCCGGCGAAGAGACCGCGUGCGGAGGAUCACGACUGCAUCAGCAAGAUGCCGGAUGACGUCCUGAUAGGAAUAGUCUCCCGGCUGACGAUCCGCGACGCCGUGGCCACCGGCGCCGUGUCGGCGAGGUGGCGGGACCUGUGGAAGCAGGUCACAAGGAUCAGCCUCCGCCCGCGCCACAUCCUGCCUCCCGGAGGGGAAGGAGACGCCGCCGCCGCCGCUGCCGCCGGGGCCUUAUCACGGGACGCGCGGCGGCUCGCGGGCGCGGCGAGCUCCGUCCUGCGCCAGCACCACGGCGCCGGAGUCGACAGGCUCGUGCUCGCGCUCCCGCUCGCGCCGUCCGUCCACGCCGCUGUGCUGGACCAGGCGAUGGAGUUCGCGGCCUCCGCCGGGACUAAGGAGCUCCACCUGUCGCUCGACAACGGCGAGCACCCCGCCUCGGGGGGCCCGCCGCCUUACGACUUUCCCCACUGGCGCUUCGCCGCCGCCGGCCGGCUGCGGAGCCUCCUCCUGUGCGACGUCAGCCUCGCCGCCGCGGCGCCGGCGGCGCAGCGGAGCUUCGAGGGCCUGGCGCGUCUGACGCGGCUCGGCCUCACCCGCGUCGCCGUGGACGACGCCGGCGUCGCGAGCGUCCUCUCCGCCUGCGCCGCGCUCACCGUCCUCGAGCUCAGCAAGUGCCGGCAGCUCGUCCACGUGGCCGCAUCGCACGACGGCCUCCUCGUCCUACGCGUCCGGAGCUGCGGCGGCCUGAAGAGCGUCGCCGUCGCAUCAAGCACCCUGCUCGAGCUCGCGUACACCGGCCACAAGGUCGACAUCGUCUGCCGGCGCACGCCAGCCAUGGUGAGGCUCGUGCUCUACGUGACCAACGGGUGCCCGCUCGACUGCGUGGCAACUGGCGGCGGCGGCGCCGCCCUCCCAAACCUCAGGCAGCUCUUCCUGCAGUUCCCUUCGCCCCUACACGCCCUACAACACGGCUGGAGAUUCGAGGGCCUCAACAAGAUCGUGCUGCUCUUCAAGACACCAUGGAGGAAGCACGUGGCGUCGGUGGCGUCCCUCCUCGCCGCCGCGCCGCUGGUCAAGGAGCUGCGCGUCGAGGCUUACAGCCACCUGCCGGUGCCGCCGCCGAACAAGCAGGGGAUCCAAUGGCCGAACCGCUGCUUGCCGAAGAAGCUCAAGAGCAUUGUCAUCGGCGGGUUCAGCGGGGAGCCGGAGCUGAUGGAGCUCGUCGAUUUCCUGCUGUGGAGGUCGCCGGCGAUGAGGAGGCUGACCAUCGACACGCACCGGCGG